GAUGAACGCUGGCGGCGUGCCUAAUACAUGCAAGUCGAGCGAACAGACGAGGAGCUUGCUCCUCUAACGUUAGCGGCGGACGGGUGAGUAACACGUGGAUAACCUACCUAUAAGACUGGGAUAACUUCGGGAAACCGGAGCUAAUACCGGAUAAUAUAUUGAACCGCAUGGUUCAAUAGUGAAAGACGGUUUUGCUGUCACUUAUAGAUGGAUCCGCGCCGCAUUAGCUAGUUGGUAAGGUGACGGCUUACCAAGGCGACGAUGCGUAGCCGACCUGAGAGGGUGAUCGGCCACACUGGAACUGAGACACGGUCCAGACUCCUACGGGAGGCAGCAGUAGGGAAUCUUCCGCAAUGGGCGAAAGCUUGACGGAGCAACGCCGCGUGAGUGAUGAAGGUCUUCGGAUCGUAAAACUCUGUUAUUAGGGAAGAACAAAUGUGUAAGUAACUAUGCACGUCUUGACGGUACCUAAUCAGAAAGCCACGGCUAACUACGUG
rnacentral:rRNA from 1 species